rnacentral:rRNA from 1 species
CGGACUGGUGAGUAACGCGUGAGGAACCUGCCUUUCGGAGGGGGACAACAGUUGGAAACGACUGCUAAUACCGCAUGAUACAUUUGGGCCGCAUGGUCUGAAUGUCAAAGAUUUAUCGCCGAAAGAUGGCCUCGCGUCUGAUUAGCUAGUUGGUGGGGUAACGGCCCACCAAGGCGACGAUCAGUAGCCGGACUGAGAGGUUGGCCGGCCACAUUGGGACUGAGACACGGCCCAAACUCCUACGGAAGGCAGCAG